GCCGGAAUAGCUCAGUUGGUAGAGCAACUGAUUCGUAAUCAGUAGGUCGGAGGUUCGACUCCUCUUUCCGGCACCA
rnacentral:tRNA from 1 species